rnacentral:rRNA from 1 species
GUGCCAGCCGCCGCGGUAAUACGUAGGCAGCAAGCGUUGUUCGGAGUUACUGGGCGUAAAGAGUGUGUAGGCGGUUCUGUAAGUUCGGUGUGAAAUCUCCCGGCUCAACUGGGAGGGUGCGCCGGAUACUGCAGAGCUUGAGCGUGGGAGAGGGAAGCGGAAUUCCUGGUGUAGCGGUGAAAUGCGUAGAUAUCAGGAGGAACACCUGCGGUGUAGACGGCUUCCUGGACCACUGCUGACGCUGAGACACGAAAGCGUGGGGAGCAAACAGGAUUAGAUACCCUGGUAGUCC